AACGAACGCUGGCGGCAGGCCUAACACAUGCAAGUCGAGCGCGCCCUUCGGGGUGAGCGGCGGACGGGUGAGUAACGCGUGGGAACGUGCCCUUUGCUACGGAAUAGUCUCGGGAAACUGGGGGUAAUACCGUAUGAGCCCUUCGGGGGAAAGAUUUAUCGGCAAAGGAUCGGCCCGCGUUGGAUUAGGUAGUUGGUGGGGUAAUGGCUCACCAAGCCGACGAUCCAUAGCUGGUUUGAGAGGAUGAUCAGCCACACUGGGACUGAGACACGGCCCAGACUCCUACGGGAGGCAGCAGUGGGGAAUCUUAGACAAUGGGCGCAAGCCUGAUCUAGCCAUGCCGCGUGAGCGAUGAAGGCCUUAGGGUUGUAAAGCUCUUUCGUGGGGGAAGAUAAUGACUGUACCCCAAGAAGAAGCCCCGGCUAACUCCGUG
rnacentral:rRNA from 2 species